CGGGUUUGGAUGAGACGAGUUUA
rnacentral:siRNA from 1 species